UCGGGUGGGGAUUAGUGGCGAACGGGUGAGUAACACGUGGGCAAUCUGCCCUGCACUCUGGGACAAGCCCUGGAAACGGGGUCUAAUACCGGAUACUGACCUGCCGAGGCAUCUCGGCGGGUCGAAAGCUCCGGCGGUGCAGGAUGAGCCCGCGGCCUAUCAGCUUGUUGGUGAGGUAAUGGCUCACCAAGGCGACGACGGGUAGCCGGCCUGAGAGGGCGACCGGCCACACUGGGACUGAGACACGGCCCAGACUCCUACGGGAGGCAGCAGUGGGGAAUAUUGCACAAUGGGCGCAAGCCUGAUGCAGCGACGCCGCGUGAGGGAUGACGGCCUUCGGGUUGUAAACCUCUUUCAGCAGGGAAGAAGCGAGAGUGACGGUACCUGCAGAAGAAGCGCCGGCUAACUACGUGCCAGCAGCCGCGGUAAUACGUAGGGCGCAAGCGUUGUCCGGAAUUAUUGGGCGUAAAGAGCUCGUAGGCGGCUUGUCGCGUCGGUUGUGAAAGCCCGGGGCUUAACCCCGGGUCUGCAGUCGAUACGGGCAGGCUAGAGUUCGGUAGGGGAGAUCGGAAUUCCUGGUGUAGCGGUGAAAUGCGCAGA
rnacentral:rRNA from 2 species